rnacentral:rRNA from 1 species
GAUGACCGCUGGCGGCGUGCCUAAUACAUGCAAGUCGAGCGAACGGACGAGAUGCUUGCUUCUCUGAUGUUAGCGGCGGACGGGUGAGUAACACGUGGAUAACCUACCUAUAAGACUGGGAUAACUUCGGGAAUCCGGAGCUAAUACCGGAUAAUCUUUUGAACCGCAUGGUUCAAAAGUGAAAGACGGUCUUGCUGUCACUUAUAGAUGGAUCCGCGCUGCAUUAGCUAGUUGGUAAGGUAACGGCUUACCAAGGCAACGAUGCAUAGCCGACCUGAGAGGGUGAUCGCCCACACUGGAACUGAGACACGGUCCAGACUCCUACGGGAGGCAGCAGUAGGGAAUCUUCCGCAAUGGGCGAAAGCCUGACGGAGCAACGCCGCGUGAGUGAUGAGGGUCUUCGGAUCGUAAAACUUUGUUAUUAGGGAAGAACAUAUGUGUAAGUAACUGUGCACAUCUUGACGGUACCUAAUCAGAAAGCCACGGCUAACUACGUG